CCUACGGGUGGCAGCAGUGGGGAAUAUUGCACAAUGGGGGGAACCCUGAUGCAGCGACGCCGCGUGGGUGAAGGAGUAUUUCGGUAUGUAAAGCCCUAUCAGCAGGGAAGAACAAUGACGGUACCUGACUAAGAAGCACCGGCAAAAUACGUGCCAGCAGCCGAGGUAAUACGUAUGGUGCAAGCGUUACCCGGAUUUCUGGGGUUUAAGGGGUGGGCAGGUGGAAGAUCAAGUCAGCGGUAAAAUUGAGAGGCUCAAACGCUUCGCGCCGUUGAAACUGGUUUUCUUGAGUGAGUGAGCAGUAUGCGGAAUGCGUGGUGUAGCGGUGAAAUGCAUAGAUAUCACGCAGAACUCCGAUUGCGAAGGCAGCAUACCGGCGCUCAACUGACGCUGAUGCACGAAAGUGUGGGUAUCGAACAGGAUUAGAUACCCCUGUAGUC
rnacentral:rRNA from 1 species